AGCGAACGCUGGCGGCAGGCUUAACACAUGCAAGUCGAGCGCCCGGAGCAAUCCGGGAGCGGCAGACGGGAGAGUAACACGUGGGAACGUACCUUUGGUCGAAUAAUCCAGGGAACUUGGACUAAUACCGGAUAACGCCCGUUAACGGGGAAAGUAUUUUAUCGACCAAAAGGAUCCGGCCCGCGUCUGAUUAGCUAGUUGGUGAGGUAACGGCUCACCAAGGCGACGAUCAGUAGCUGGUCUGAGAGGAUGAUCAGCCUCACUGGGACUGAGACACGGCCCAGACUCCGUACGGGAGGCAGCAGG
rnacentral:rRNA from 1 species